rnacentral:rRNA from 1 species
ACGUAGGGGGCGAGCGUUAUUCGGAAUUACUGGGUGUAAAGGGUAUGUAGGCGGCCCUUCAAGUCGCGUGUCAAAGUUCAGUGCUCAACGCUGGGUGUGCACGUAAAACUGACAGGAUUGAGUGCUGGAGAGGUGAGCGGAAUUCCCAGUGUAGUGGUAAAAUCCGUAGAGAUCAGAAGGAACACCAGCGGCGUAGGCGGCUUACGAGUCAGUAACUGACGCUCAGACACGAAAGCUAGGGGAGCAAACAG